UACGUAGGGGGCUAGCGUUGUCCGGAAUCAUUGGGCGUAAAGAGUGUGUAGGCGGUCCGGUAAGUCCGCUGUGAAAGUCGGGGGCUCAACCCUCGAAUGCCGGUGGAUACUGUCGGGCUAGAGUGCGGAAGAGGCGAGUGGAAUUCCUGGUGUAGCGGUGAAAUGCGCAGAUAUCAGGAGGAACACCUAUUGCGAAGGCAGCUCGCUGGGACGUAACUGACGCUGAGACGCGAAAGCGUGGGGAGCAAACAGG
rnacentral:rRNA from 1 species